ACGGCUCAGUAACACGUAGUCAACAUGCCCAGAGGACGUGGGAUAACCUCGGGAAACUGAGGAUAAACCGCGAUAGGCCAUGAUUUCUGGAAUGGUUCAUGGCCGAAAUCUAUAUGGCCUUUGGAUUGGACUGCGGCCGAUCAGGGCUGUUGGUGAGGUAAUGGCCCACCAAACCUGUUACCGGUACGGGCUCUGAGAGGAGGAGCCCGGAGAUGGGCACUGAGACAAGGGCCCAGGCCCUAUGGGGCGCAGCAGGCGCGAAACCUCUGCAAUAGGCGAAAGCUUGACAGGGUUACUCUGAGUGAUUUCCGCUAAGGAGAUCUUUUGACACCUCUAAAAAUGGUGUAGAAUAAGGGGUGGGCAAGUCUGGUGUCAGCCGCCGCGGUAAUACCAGCACCCCGAGUGGUCGGGACGAUUAUUGGGCCUAAAGCAUCCGUAGCCGGUCCUACAAGUCUUCCGUUAAAUCCACCUGCUCAACAGAUGGGCUGCGGAAGAUACUAUAGGGCUAGGAGGCGGGAGAGGCAAGCGGUACUCAGUGGGUAGGGGUAAAAUCCUCUGAUCCAUUGAAGACCACCAGUGGCGAAGGCGGCUUGCCAGAACGCGCUCGACGGUGAGGGAUGAAAGCUGGGGGAGCAAACCGGAUUAGAUACCCGGGUAGUCCCAGCUGUAAACGAUGCAGACUCGGUGAUGGGUUGGCCUUGUGCCAACCCAGUGCCGCAGGGAAGCCGUUAAGUCUGCCGCCUGGGGAGUACGGUCGCAAGACUGAAACUUAAAGGAAUUGGCGGGGGAGCACAAU
rnacentral:rRNA from 1 species